AGCAGAGAUGCUUAGUGCCUUCGGGAACUCUGAGACAGGUGCUGCAUGGCUGUCGUCAGCUCGUGUUGUGAAAUGUUGGGUUAAGUCCCGCAACGAGCGCAACCCUUAUCCUUUGUUGCCAGCACGUAAUGGUGGGAACUCAAAGGAGACUGCCGGUGAUAAACCGGAGGAAGGUGGGGAUGACGUCAAGUCAUCAUGGCCCUUACGAGUAGGGCUACACACGUGCUACAAUGGCGCAUACAAAGAGAAGCGACCUCGCGAGAGCAAGCGGACCUCAUAAAGUGCGUCGUAGUCCGGAUUGGAGUCUGCAACUCGACUCCAUGAAGUCGGAAUCGCUAGUAAUCGUAAAUCAGAAUGUUACGGUGAAUACGUUCCCGGGCCUUGUACACACCGCCCGUCACACCAUGGGAGUGGGUUGCAAAAGAAGUAGAUAGCUUAACCUUCGGGAGGGCGUUUACCACUUUGUGAUUCAUGACUGGGGUGAAGUCGUAACAAGGUAAGCGUAGUGCU
rnacentral:rRNA from 1 species